rnacentral:sRNA from 1 species
GGGAGAUCAAAAGCCUGGGAACCAAGUCCCCAACAAAGGACCCGAGGACAGCCUUAUCCAGGCUUUGCUUCUCUCUGGGGGUUUGAAAGGAGCUGCUCUUGCUGGCUUCGGUGCAGGGGAUGAAUGCCAGUGAAUGCCAGUGUUCAGCAGGGCUCCUCCCAGGCGGCACUCCAGGGUCCGGCCCAAGGUGACUGUCCUGAACUAUGCCUCCCCAAUAACCACAGUCAGCCGGCCACUGAAUGAGAUGGUCUUGACCCCACUGACAGAGCAGGAGGGGGAAGCCUACCUGGAGAAGUGUGGCAGCGUGCGGCGGCACACGGUGGCCAAUGCCCACUCGGACAUCCAGCUGCUGGCCAUGGCCACCAUGAUGCACUCGGGCCUGGGGGAGGAGGCCAGCAGUGAGAACAAGUGCCUGCUCCUGCCACCCAGCUUCCCCCCACCCCACCGGCAGUGCUCCAGUGAGCCCAACAUCACCGACAACCCUGACGGACUGGAGGAGGGGGCCAGGGGCAGCCAGGAGGGCUCGGAGCUGAACUGUGCUUCCCUCAGCUGAGUCGCCACCCCUGGGCCUUUCCAUCUCCUGUUUUGCAACCAGGAUGAGGACCCCUCCAUCUCCGUGGAUUACCGAGGGGGGCUCUUGCUUUAUGCGACGCUGCCUUAUUUCUUUUAGGGUACUGUCCUGGUCAAAAUGACCUAAGGGAAAACCGUUGUUGUAAACCUCUUUAUUUUGGUGACUGUCACCACUUCUUUGUAGCCACCAAUUGUAGUGACCAAUUGCCUAAUGGUCACUUUCUGACUCCAGCCUUGCCAGCCUGACUCAGAUCCUCAUCUCUGGGCCUUUCUCCCUCCGAUGUUGGACUGCCUGAUGCUCCCAAUGACAUAUCCAAUGCUCCUGGCAUUUCUGGAGCAGGAGGUUGUCAGGACAGCACAUAUAACCACCAAGGAUGUGUUGGCCUUUGGAGUUCCCCUUUAGGUUCCUAGUGAUGUGGAGGUUUAUGGGUGAAAAAUUAGUGGAGAGGGAACUCCUCUCCCCCAUUUUGUGUAGAGUGAAAAUAGCCUGAAGCCCCUACUCAGCAGGGCUCUGGGAAUGUGCCUUCCUUAUUUUAGUUUCAGAAUUGCUGGGAAAGUUACCCCACUGGUGAGUGAAUAUCUAUCCUCACCUACAUCCAGAUCCUAUGUGCUGCUUGCACAGAGGCCUUUGGCUUUUGACCCAGGAGGGCCGCGAGCCUGGAGCUGCCCUGUCUUUCAUUGAGCCUUAGCAUUUCCCUCUCAGGCUUCCUCUCAAGCUCAAGGAACUCACCCCCAGAUAAGAAGCUGGUGCCUCUUGUCUCUCUCGUUUCAGAAACGGACUUUCUCAUCAUGCUUUCCUAUGGUGGGUAUGAGGGGCCAGCUGAUACCAACCAACUGGCCUGUAUCUAUCUGGAUUUGACUUGAAUUUUUAAAAUGUGUAUCGUUUCAAAAAAAAUGUUUGCAAAUUUUGCACAUA